rfam:Arabidopsis lyrata subsp. lyrata unplaced genomic scaffold ARALYscaffold_7, whole genome shotgun sequence.
UGUGGUGAUAUUCAAAAUAUACAUUUUAUUUUUGGCAAUCAUUUUUCUUUUAUAAAUUCAAAAGUCAUUUUUCUUUCUAAAAACACAAUAAUAUAUAUAUAUAUAUAUAACCAACGUUUGAGUUUUAAAAAAGAAAAAUGAAUUUAUAAGAAAAUGAUUGCCAAAAAGAAAAUGUAUAUUUUGUUAUAUUACCAUAA